AACGCUAGCUACAGGCUUAACACAUGCAAGUCGAGGGGUAACAAGAGAAAAGCUUGCUUUUCUUGUUGACGACCGGCGCACGGGUGAGUAACGCGUAUCCAACCUGCCUAUAACUAGGGAAUAACCUUGCGAAAGUAAGACUAAUACCCUAUGAUUUCCUUUGAUGACAUCAGAUUAGGAAUAAAGAUUUAUCGGUUAUAGAUGGGGAUGCGUCUGAUUAGCUUGUUGGCGGGGUAACGGCCCACCAAGGCGACGAUCAGUAGGGGUUCUGAGAGGAAGGUCCCCCACAUUGGAACUGAGACACGGUCCAAACUCCUACGGGAGGCAGCAGUGAGGAAUAUUGGUCAAUGGGCGAGAGCCUGAACCAGCCAAGUAGCGUGCAGGAAGACGGCCCUAUGGGUUGUAAACUGCUUUUAUAAGGGAAUAAAGUGAGCCUCGUGAGGCUUUUUGCAUGUACCUUAUGAAUAAGGACCGGCUAAUUCCGUGCCAGCAGCCGCGGUAAUACGGAAGGUCCGGGCGUUAUCCGGAUUUAUUGGGUUUAAAGGGAGCGUAGGCCGGAGAUUAAGCGUGUUGUGAAAUGUAGAUGCUCAACAUCUGCACUGCAGCGCGAACUGGUUUCCUUGAGUACGCACAAAGUGGGCGGAAUUCGUGGUGUAGCGGUGAAAUGCUUAGAUAUCACGAAGAACUCCGAUUG
rnacentral:rRNA from 1 species